UACGAAGGGGGCUAGCGUUGCUCGGAAUCACUGGGCGUAAAGGGCGCGUAGGCGGCCAUUCAAGUCGGGGGUGAAAGCCCAGGGCUCAACCCUGGAAUUGCCUUCGAUACUGUUUGGCUAGAGACCGGAAGAGGUAAGUGGAACUGCGAGUGUAGAGGUGAAAUUCGUAGAUAUUCGCAAGAACACCAGUGGCGAAGGCGGCUUACUGGUCCGGUUCUGACGCUGAGGCGCGAAGGCGUGGGGAGCGAACGGG
rnacentral:rRNA from 1 species